rnacentral:rRNA from 1 species
CAACGUUCAACGGCCGCGGUACCCUAACCGUGCGAAGGUAGCAUAAUCACUUGUUCUUUAAAUGGGGACUUGUAUCAAAGGCACCACGAGGACUAUACUGUCUCCCCUCUCCAAUCAGUGAAACUGAUCCCCCCGUGAAGAAGCGGGGAUUCAACUAUAAGACGAGAAGACCCCAUGGAGCUUUAGACUUAAUAUACACCCUUGCACAACAUAACAGUAAAGCUAUUAAGAUAUGUAUAUUGUCUUCGGUUGGGGGGACCGCGGAGUAAAACUUAACCUCCACGACAAACGGGUUAACACCCUUAUCCAAGAAACACAUUUCUAAGAGUCAAUAAAUUGUUGUUUAUGACCCAUUUUAUGAUUAACGAACCAAGUUACCCUGGGGAUAACAGCGCAAUCUACUUCAAGAGCCCCUAUCGACAAGUAGGUUUACGACCUCGAUGUUGGAUCAGGGAAUCCCAGUGGCGCAACCGCUACUAAUGGCUCGUUUGUUCAACGAUUAAAACCCU